rnacentral:rRNA from 1 species
UGAGGAAUAUUGCACAAUGGGCGAAAGCCUGAUGCAGCAACGCCGCGUGAGGGACGAAGGCCUUCGGGUUGUAAACCUCUUUUCUGGGGAAAGAGACAGGACGGUACCUCAGGAAUAAGUCUCGGCUAACUACGUGCCAGCAGCCGCGGUAAAACGUAGGAGGCGAGCGUUAUCCGGAUUUACUGGGCGUAAAGCGCGCGCAGGCGGUUCCGUUAGUCGGACGUGAAAGCUCCUGGCUUAACUGGGAGAGGUCGUUCGAUACUGCGGGACUUGAGGUUGGGAGAGGGGUGUGGAAUUCCCGGUGUAGUGGUGGAAUGCGUAGAUAUCGGGAGGAACACCUGUGGCGAAAGCGGCACCCUGGCCCACACCUGACGCUGAGGUGCGAAUGCGUGGGUAGCAAACAG